rnacentral:rRNA from 1 species
UACGUAGGGCGCAAGCGUUGUCCGGAAUUAUUGGGCGUAAAGAGCUCGUAGGCGGCUUGUCACGUCGGGUGUGAAAGCCCGGGGCUUAACCCCGGGUCUGCAUUCGAUACGGGCAGGCUAGAGUGUGGUAGGGGAGUCUGGAAUUCCUGGUGUAGCGGUGAAAUGCGCAGAUAUCAGGAGGAACACCGGUGGCGAAGGCGGGACUCUGGGCCGAUACUGACGCUGAGGAGCGAAAGCGUGGGGAGCGAACAGG